GUUAGGAAUAUUGGACAAUGGGCGCAAGCCUGAUCCAGCCAUGCCGCGUGAGUGAUGAAGGCCUUCGGGUAGUAAAGCUCUUUAGCCGAUGAUUAUAAUGAGUGUAGUCAGAAAAUAAGCCCCGGCUAACUUCGUGCCAGCAGCCGCGGUAAUACGAAGGGGGCGAGCGUUAUUCGGAAUCACUGGGCGUAAAGCGUGCGUAGGCGGCUUUGCAAGAUGGGAGUGAAAGCCCAGGGCUCAACCCUGGAAUUGCUCUCAAAACUGCAAGGCUCGAAUUCGGGAGAGGAUAGCGGAAUUGUCAGUGUAGCAGUGAAAUGCGUAGAUAUUGACAGGAACACCAGUGGCGUAAGCGGCUAUCUGGACCGAUAUUGACGCUGAGGCACGAAAGCGUGGGGAUCAAACAGGAUUAGAAACCCUGGUAGUCC
rnacentral:rRNA from 1 species